UACGUAGGUGGCAAGCGUUGUCCGGAAUUAUUGGGCGUAAAGCGCGCGCAGGCGGUCCUUUAAGUCUGAUGUGAAAUCCCACGGCUCAACCGUGGAAGGUCAUUGGAAACUGGGGGACUUGAGUACAGAAGAGGAAAGCGGAAUUCCAAGUGUAGCGGUGAAAUGCGUAGAGAUUUGGAGGAACACCAGUGGCGAAGGCGGCUUUCUGGUCUGUAACUGACGCUGAGGCGCGAAAGCUAGGGGAGCGAACGGG
rnacentral:rRNA from 1 species